ACGAACGCUGGCGGCGUGCUUAACACAUGCAAGUCGAACGGAAAGGCCCUGCUUUUGUGGGGUGCUCGAGUGGCGAACGGGUGAGUAACACGUGAGUAACCUGCCCUUGACUUUGGAUAACUUCAGGAAACUGGGGCUAAUAACGGAUAGGAGCUCCUGCUGCAUGGUGGGGGUUGGAAAGUUUCGGCGGUUGGGGAUGGACUCGCGGCUUAUCAGCUUGUUGGUGGGGUAGUGGCUUACCAAGGCUUUGACGGGUAGCCGGCCUGAGAGGGUGACCGGCCACAUUGGGACUGAGAUACGGCCCAGACUCCUACGGGAGGCAGCAGUGGGGAAUAUUGCACAAUGGGCGGAAGCCUGAUGCAGCAACGCCGCGUGCGGGAUGACGGCCUUCGGGUUGUAAACCGCUUUCGCCUGUGACGAAGCGUGAGUGACGGUAAUGGGUAAAGAAGCACCGGCUAACUACGUG
rnacentral:rRNA from 1 species